rnacentral:rRNA from 1 species
GUGGACGCCAGUCUGCGUGGAGCCGACCUUGAAAUACCACCCUUUAAUGUUUGAUGUUCUAACGUGGACCCGUAAUCCGGGUUGCGGACAGUGUCUGGUGGGUAGUUUGACUGGGGCGGUCUCCUCCUAAAGAGUAACGGAGGAGCACGAAGGUUGGCUAAUCCUGGUCGGACAUCAGGAGGUUAGUGCAAUGGCAUAAGCCAGCUUGACUGCGAGCGUGACGGCGCGAGCAGGUGCGAAAGCAGGUCAUAGUGAUCCGGUGGUUCUGAAUGGAAGGGCCAUCGCUCAACGGAUAAAAGGUACUCCGGGGAUAACAGGCUGAUACCGCCCAAGAGUUCAUAUCGACGGCGGUGUUUGGCACCUCGAUGUCGGCUCAUCACAUCCUGGGGCUGAAGUAGGUCCCAAGGGUAUGGCUGUUCGCCAUUUAAAGUGGUACGCGAGCUGGGUUUAGAACGUCGUGAGACAGUUCGGUCCCUAUCUGCCGUGGGCGCUGGAGAACUGAGGGGGGCUGCUCCUAGUACGAGAGGACCGGAGUGGACGCAUCACUGGUGUUCGGGUUGUCAUGCCAAUGGCACUGCCCGGUAGCUAAAUGCGGAAGAGAUAAGUGCUGAAAGC